rnacentral:rRNA from 1 species
UACGUAGGGAGCAAGCGUUAUCCGGAAUUACUGGGCGUAAAGGGCGUGUAGGCGGCCAUUUAAACUAGGUGUUAAAGACCACGGCUCAACUGGGGGAAUGCAUUUAGAACUGGAUGGCUAGAGGACGAGAGAGGAGAGUGGAAUUCCUAGUGUAGCGGUGGAAUGCGUAGAUAUUAGGAGGAACACCAGUGGCGAAGGAGGCUUUCGGGCUCGUACCUGACGAUGAGGCGCGAAAGCGUGGGGAGCAAACAGG